rnacentral:rRNA from 1 species
GACGAACGCUGGCGGCGUGCCUAAUACAUGCAAGUAGAACGCUGAAGGAGGAGCUUGCUCUUCUGGAUGAGUUGCGAACGGGUGAGUAACGCGUAGGUAACCUGCCUGGUAGCGGGGGAUAACUAUUGGAAACGAUAGCUAAUACCGCAUAACAGUAGAUGUUGCAUGACAUUUGCUUAAAAGGUAGCAAUUGCAUCACUACCAGAUGGACCUGCGUUGUAUUAGCUAGUUGGUGGGGUAACGGGCUCACCAAGGCGACGAUACAUAGCCGACCUGAGAGGGUGAUCGGCCACACUGGGACUGAGACACGGCCCAGACUCCUACGGGAGGCAGCAGUAGGGAAUCUUCGGCAAUGGACGGAAGUCUGACCGAGCAACGCCGCGUGAGUGAAGAAGGUUUUCGGAUCGUAAAGCUCUGUUGUAAGAGAAGAACGAGUGUGAGAGUGGAAAGUUCACACUGUGACGGUAUCUUA